GGAAUAUUGGACAAUGGGCGCAAGCCUGAUCCAGCCAUACCGCGUGGGUGAAGAAGGCCUUCGGGUUGUAAAGCCCUUUUGUUGGGAAAGAAAAGCAGCCGGUUAAUACCCGGUUGUUCUGACGGUACCCAAAGAAUAAGCACCGGCUAACUUCGUGCCAGCAGCCGCGGUAAUACGAAGGGUGCAAGCGUUACUCGGAAUUACUGGGCGUAAAGCGUGCGUAGGUGGUUGUUUAAGUCUGUCGUGAAAGCCCUGGGCUCAACCUGGGAAUUGCGAUGGAAACUGGGCGACUAGAGUGUGGCAGAGGAUAGUGGAAUUCCUGGUGUAGCAGUGAAAUGCGUAGAGAUCAGGAGGAACAUCCGUGGCGAAGGCGACUGUCUGGGCCAACACUGACACUGAGGCACGAAAGCGUGGGGAGCAAAC
rnacentral:rRNA from 1 species